rnacentral:tRNA from 1 species
UCAAAACUGACUAACUAAUAAUCAUUUUCUCAAUGUAAGUGAGAUACAUUCAUUUUUAUGUUAAGUUUUG